UUUUUUGUUGUUGUUGCUGAAAUCGAGCAAAUGCAGGGUUGAAAAUGGAGAUAUUAGUUGUGUGAUAAACAACUAAAAGAGAUGCGAGAUGCAAAGAGAUAGAGAGGACAAGAAACUGAUUGUUAAAUGCAAAUUUAACAAGUGAAGAGAAAACUAAUACACCAUUUAAAAAAAAAGUAUCAGACAAUAACCUAAAAUCUCUCAUAUAGAGAGGACUACGUUGAGGCUUAUAAUGAAGGAACCAUAAAUUUGUGCAGGCUGAAAGUGUAAAAAUGAGCGGACAAUCCGACCACAAUUUAACUUAUAGUGAUACUGUGGGCACCCCCUCAGUAUGCUUACGAAACCCCCCAUUUUUUUACAUUAACAGCAUUUUUACAAGAUAAAAUUACAUAAAACUACAAAUACAAAUUAAUUAAACCCCAAUCCAUAUAUUUCUUUUUCAUACAAUUGCUUCCCAGUACACGUCACCCACGCAUCAUAAACUCCUUAUUUUCAGGAUCUAAUAUAUUUUGGAUUCAUUUUUUUUUAGUUCCGAAAUGAUUUUGAAGUAAUUAAGAUAAAACAU
rnacentral:lncRNA from 1 species